AGAGUGAUGUUUGUGAAAUGAAUACAGCAUAUAGUGUGCUGGAACUUCAAGGUUAAGAAACUGUUCUAAUCUGUAACUUUUUUUUGUAACAGGCGACACUGGUAAGAACUCUACCAUUUGGACGUGGAUUCUGCUGCUUGGACCCCUCUCACCCUACUAUGGCUGGGUCUCCUGCAAUCAACAAUAUACAUCCAGGAGGACAUCUCAAAGCUCUUCGCACAGCUGGUUGGGAGGCGUGUUGGAGGGGGAAUGAUCAAACGUGUGGUCAAAAAAAUGGGUAUGGAAGGAAAGAGGAUUCUGGGAUGGAGUACCAGAGAGAGUUCCACCACCAUCAGUGAAGAAACUGAAAUGCUAUAUUCCUAUAACUAUGCUAUUUACUGCUUAAAUGCUUGGUAAAUUUCCAGUUGAAUAAUGUGA